GAUGAAGAACGUAGCGAAAUGCGAUAAGUAAUGUGAAUUGCAGAAUUCAGUGAAUCAUCGAAUCUUUGAACGCACAUUGCGCCCGCCAGUAUUCUGGCGGGCAUGCCUGUUCGAGCGUCAUUUCAACCAUCAAGCCCCAGGCUUGUGUUGGGGACCUGCGGCUGCCGCAGGCCCUGAAAACCAGUGGCGGGCUCGCUGUCACACCGGGCGUAGUAGAUUUUAUCUCGCUCAGGGCGUGCUGCGGGUUCCGGCCGUUAAAAAGCCUUUUUUACCCAAGGUUGACCUCGGAUCAGGUAGGAAGACCCGCUCAACUUAAGCAUAUCAAUAAGCGGAGGA
rnacentral:misc_RNA from 1 species